CCCUUAGAUGUUCUGGGCCGCACGCGUGCUACACUGAGUGGAUCAGCGGGUCAGGUUGCGCGAAAGCGUUUCCUAAUCUUUAAAUCCGCUCGUGAUGGGGAUUGACGGUUGCAAUUUUCUGUCAUGAACGAGGAAUACCUUGUAAGCGCGGGUCAUCAUCCCGCGCUGAAUACGUCCCUGCCCUUUGUACACACCGCCCGUCGCUCCUACCGAUUGAAUGUUCCGGUGAAUACUUCGGACUGCGAGGUUUGCAGUUUCUGCACUCCUUGCGGAAAGUUGAAUAAACCUUAACAUUUAGAGGAAGGAGAAGUCGUAACA
rnacentral:rRNA from 1 species